rnacentral:rRNA from 1 species
AGCGAACGCUGGCGGCAGGCCUAAUACAUGCAAGUCGAGCGCACCUUCGGGUGAGCGGCGGACGGGUGAGUAACGCGUGGGAACGUGCCCUUUGGUACGGGAUAACUGAGGGAAACUUCAGCUAAUACCGUAUGUGCCCUACGGGGGAAGGAUUUAAGGCCAUUGGAGCGGCCCGCGUUGGAUUAGUUAGUUGGUGAGGUAAAGGCUCACCAAGCCUACGAUCCAUAGCUGGUCUGAGAGGAUGAUCAGCCACACUGGGACUGAGACACGGCCCAGACUCCUACGGGGGGCAGCAGUAGAGAAUCUAGCGCAAUGGGCGAAAGCCUGACGCAGCCAUGCCGCGUGAAUGAUGAAGGUCUUAGGAUUGUAAAAUUCUUUCGCCGGGGAAGAUAAUGACGGUACCCGGAGAAGAAGCCCCGGCUAACUUCGUGCCAGCAGCCGCAGUAAAAC